rnacentral:rRNA from 1 species
UACAGAGGGUGCGAGCGUUAAUCGGAGUUACUGGGCGUAAAGGGCGCGUGGGCGGUAAGAUGUGUGUGAUGUGAAAGCCCCGGGCUUAACCUGGGAAGUGCAUCGCAAACUAUCUGACUGGAGUAUAUGAGAGGGUGGCGGAAUUUCCGGUGUAGCGGUGAAAUGCGUAGAGAUCGGAAGGAACGUCGAUGGCGAAGGCAGCCACCUGGCAUAAUACUGACGCUGAGGCGCGAAAGCGUGGGGAGCGAACAGG